CUUCCCUUCCUCUCAUUUCCCAUCUUUUUCCCAUUCCCUACCCUUCCUCCUUCUUCUCCCCAGAGUUCUUUUCUUGUUUGUUAGGGUUAUAUAUCUCAGUAUUGGCCAAUACAUACCUUCCUAUAUUUCUUCACCAACACACAGCAUGAACAGUAACUAAGUGAAAGGAUGAUAUAGAAAUUUCAUGGUCACAGAAACACUUGGUCAUUGGCUCAAGAAGAACAGACUUACAGAGACAAAUGUUCAUUUCUUAUCAACCAACACUGAACCACACUAUAAGUACUGAGGAAGUGUCUUGGAUUUUUACAGGCGACUUGUGUAUUUCACAACCAUUUAAAAAAUGAUGGCAGAGACACUAGACAAAACUUGUUCAAGAACAAGUUCACCGCAAAUAUGUAUUCAUAUUUUAUCCAGACUGCUAUCAAAAAGUGCUUCACCAAGCAUAAAAAUGAAUUGCAUUUACCAACAAGAUUUUAUAGCAGUAGUACCUCAAAAAUUAACUUCUCCUGUCAAACAUCAGCACACUAACUACGGGAACACUUUUCGUCUUUUAAUAAAUUACAGGGUUCAUUACACUCAAGAGUACAGAUCAAUUAUUAAAUCACGAGUGACGAUGUGAGUCAUCAGAAAUGCUAUGAGCUCUCACUCUAACAUGUCAAAGAAGCCAUAAAACUCAUGUCAUUUGUAUCAGACACCACAUGUUGCAAAGGAGCUUGCAGAAUACAAAAUACAUAACAUACGUGUACACUCAAUUAUUAGGAAUUAAUUUGUGUGCAAAAUGAGUAACUGUAAAAAUAUUCCUAUUUAUUGAUCGAUAUUUUUUCCACUAUUAAGCUGACUACCUCCCUACAGAUUUCAGUGUUAAAUGUAUCAGAAGUUAAUAAAGCUUAUUGCAGUUUUUACAGUAUUAUCAGAAUACGAAGACCCACAGUCAUCAACCAGGCCACUGCCACAGUGGCACAAAAAAAUGUCCCUGCCCAGCAAGGUCCUGCUCUGUUUACUUAUAAUUCAAGUAAGUAGGAAACAGGAGUAUAAAAAGAGUGGUAUAUAAUACAGUUAUUCUGUCAUUCUUUUUCACUCUUUUGCUAAGGUAGUAAUAAUUCCUGUAAUACAUUGAUAUACUUCAUUGCACUACCUUUGCUGACUUCAAGUUUGAAAGCACUGUAAAUGGUUUGCAGGAUUACACCAAUAAUCAUACAUUACAAUAGGCUCUUUCUUUAGUUAGAAGACUGAAAUAACAAUAAUCUUUCCAAGGAGCCAUUCUUGGGAGAUUUCCAGCCUGACGUCGCAGACAACUAUAGUUCAUGCAGCUCAAAAAAGUCUUCAAGCCUUUUGAAGCCUAACUAAAACAUCAGAACCUUUUGGAUGUUCCAGUAUCCUGUAACUACAGCACAUGUACUAAAACUUAAUAACACAAAAAGUACUUGAAUUUAUUUGAUGCACAUGGGAUCUUCUUGAGACCCAUGCAAUACAGAUCAUAGGUUCUUGUGUAAAGAUAAUGCAAUAAACAGCUCAACAAUUCUUUAGAGUGGCUUUUGUGCUACUUGCAAGGAAUCUGUUCUUCUGUGUCCCUCUUGUACUAAAGUAAGAAAAUAAAAAAAGUUAUUUUCUUUAUCAUCUUCACGGUAUUAGAAAAUUCUCUUUAAAGGGCCAUGUGAAGGAAGAAGCUGCAAUGUAUAGCCUGAGUUUAUUAAGAGAUUAGACUCUGAUGGAUGUCACCAUGAAAAAAUGUAAAGUAAAAGCAUCACAAAUGGUUUGCACUGACUUUAGGAUAUCCAUUUAUUUUUAUUUUCACUUGAGAUUCCAUCUAAGAAAGUAGGACUUAUGUGAAUAUAUGACACACACAGGCUCAUACAAAAGCAAAUCUUGAAGCUUUUUUAAUACAGUGGUGGAUAGUAGCAUUGUUCAGCAAAGAUAUUUUCUGUCCCUUAAACAACCCUCCAGCAUACAAAUCAUUACUCAAAAACAUAAAAAAUAAAAAUAAAAAAAUAAAAAAGUUUCACUGCUACUCUGAGACACUAAUGGUAUUUGUGUAAUUAUUUAUAUCCUGCACAUCACCUGCAGUAUCAAAGCAUUACUUAUCUAGAAUUGCCUCCUAAAUUAAGGGUAAUGUUAUAUAUCUAUUGUCACAGCAUAAUUCUGACUGGGGACAAAAAAGCAGAGCAAAGCUGUAGAUUGAUGGAUCUAUAGUCUUGAACAUACACAACACAUAUUGGAGAGAUGGCUAAGAAACACCAUGUGCUCUCCUGAGCACUCAGCAUGCAAUGAAAGAUGCUUUUGAUGGAGUUUUAGCCUUAAACCACAUCAGCAAGACUAUUUUAUACAUUUAAGUGUAGCCAGGGCAAACAGGAUGUGAAGUCAGCCUUCAACAUCAUAGACAUAUCAAAGAAAGAGGCAGCACUCAAAAGCUUCUUUGAAUGAGGCAACUCAUUUUACAGUUAGUUAAUCUAAAUUAUUAUGAUCAGUUAGCUGAGACCCAGUUUUUUUUCCAUAGAGUACAAAGUGCAUCACAUUUCAACUAUACAAAUGUAUAUACAUUUGUGUAAGAAAAAUGUAAGAGUUUCGUGCAUAUAUCUUUCCUAAACCUAGCUACAAGCAGGUAGGUAUUCCCAGAAAGAUCAUAAAGCUUGGGAUAUACCUUAAGAAAUGCCUUUUUCACAUUUCCCAUCACUUUCCAGAUAUAAAACAAAACAAAACAAACAAAUAACAAACAACAUCUGCCGUAAAAAACAAAUUGGGUUGGGGAAAGGAUUCUUUAAAAUAUGCUCUUUUUUUAACGUGCAGUGAUUAUGUAGUAGGAAAAUUUGUCAUGAAUGUUCUCAUCUAGCAAAGAAAAGUCUCUUUCACUUGGUUUCAGCAUUCCUCUCCUCACAAAUACAGUGACAUUCUAAAUCAAGUAAUGCUUAACGACUUCUUCUCAAACUGACUAAAACUAAUUAUGCAUUCAUAAUUUUCAGAAAGAAAAUCAGUGUUUUCAGUGAAAUUUCUGUUUUGAUAGUUAAAAAUCGUGUCAUCUCACCAUACUUUCUCCAACAAUAAAAUUUUCCUUGAGCAGGUGUCAACAUCAUCUCAAUAUUUUAGCAACAGUUAAGAUACACUUUUCAGUGGAUAAGGGAUCAGAAAAGUAAUCAAAUACAAAAAAGUAAGGCUAUGCACUAUGCAUAAACUUUUGAGACAUGCAGUGCUGUACAGAGUAUAUCAGUUCACAGUUCAAGACGAAAACUUAAAUAAAUAGCAACCGAACAAGUAGUUUGCUGUACAUAAGAGAGUUCUUUGUGCUAUUUUGUGGGGAAAAAGAAAAAAAACAACCUCUUUUUUUUUGAGCCCGAGACAGCCAGUCAAGUAACACAGACUUUCAAGUAACAUCUAACCAGGAUACCUGACCCAGUAACAUUGCAUGAAAAAAAAAACUCCCUGUGGCCAACACCUAGAAAGCAAAAAUACAUGAGGAUUACAUCAAAAGGAACUGACCUAUUUUUUUUCCCCUCUACAUAAGCUUAUUCCCUUUAGAAAUUAGCAAAAUACUACCCUAUUCAAAAUUAGUAAUCAGCAGCUGCAAGUCAUCAAGAUUUCUCCAGUGACUCCCCCUUAGAUGGCUUAUUCUUUGAAGGGAAAUCCAAUUUCAAUCACACAUUAAACAGUUCCUCGUGACCCCAUUGGGCAUUUUUGAAGAGCUUCCCCUGCUAUCAUCAUGAGAGGUGUGGACUUCAAAAUCCUGAUGGAAUUAAACCCAAAUUCUGAAUCGCUUCUUCAAGCAGUUGUCUAUAUACAACGAAGGAUUAACAUUGUUUUACCACAUCUCUGUGGCUGGGAGGCCGGUGUGCCUCAUCCACACAGCACUCACAGUCUCGCCAGCACACCACAGCCACCCAUACACAGCUGCCUCAGUGGAAAUAUUUGAGCAGGCAUGGGCAAGCAUGAGGCAAGGACUCAGAUGGUACGCCGAGCUUGGAGGGCGAUGGGCAGCCUGCUGGGGAUUGCUAGGCAACCCAGGCCUGCUACUGACCCCAGCACCUUCGCCACAGUUGGGGCUUUUGAGGGAGAAAGGACCUUUCAGCAGUCUGUGCAGAGCCCUGUAAAUGUAAAGCCCUGUUACUGUAAAUAAGGGAUAAUAACAGGGUCACCCUAUGUUCAGAACACUCAGUGGAUAGCUAGAUGGGUUUAUUUAUUUAUUUAUUUGGUUUUAUUUUAAUGGAGCUGACAAAAUCUGGCAACAAUGCACUGUGUAAAAAGUGACAUUUUGACUCUAAGGGAGGAAUUAUUUGCAAUUUGUUUUGAACAGAAGCUUAGUUCAUGUCAGAUGUGAACCUCCAGACAAUCAUUAGUUUAAACUGCCUGCUAUGUGUUUAAAAAUUUCAGUCAAUUUAUAACUGAUCUGAAUUGCAAAUGAGAUGGUAAUAAGCCAUUAGGGAACAACAUAUCUCUUUUUCACACUCACAGCCCUCUGCUUUAAGGGGCUUCAACUGCUCUGAAAUAUGAAAAUACCAUUUUAGUCAUGCGCAGUAUCAACAAACAGGGAUAAUUUUGAGAUGCAGAAAUGGAGUUUCUUGGAGAAUCACUCGGAGAAGACUGGCAGCUGACACAGGAGCAAAGUAACAUGGAGCCUGAGCUGUGAAUAGCAGGCAGUAGUCAGCUGCCCGAAGAACAGAUAGCCUGAUUUGCUGAUGGCACUGUAGCGCCUGGUAUCUGACAAGCACUUGGUUACUUUGGUUGCUGACUACGGGAUCUGAGCUAUUUCUUAUCCUCUGUGAAACCACUUUUGUGAGUGAACAUAGGCUUUGCACUACCAAAGUAUCUCUGUAUAGUUACUCACAUUUCCUCAAUACUAACUACUGAUUCUCCUGUGUUCAAAGGAGUAACAAGAUGAAUUUUUUUGUCAUCCUUGUUCACAUGUAGGCAUCCUUUAAAUACAAUUAUAACCUGCACAACUAAACAUAGAGCAAAUGUAUUAUAGAUGAUAGCAUUAAGCAUCAUGGCUCUUGUCUCGAAUAUUUCUUCCCACUGAUUGUUAUCAUGAUUUAUAUCAUCAUAAAUCGCCUACUGAUUUAUCAUGUCUCAUGGAUGAAAAAACUAUCUUUACAUAUCCCUACUGCUACUUUAUAGCUAUAUAGCUACUCUUAAGUACCUGCUAUUAUUUGUUGAGGUUGAUUGUUUUUUUUUUUUCACUGACUAAUAAAAUUAGUAUCCCUUAUAAAAUUAAUUUAUUUCAUUGUUUCUCAAGUCUGCAACUGAGUCCAACUGUAUGCCUGACUGUACUAGAUGACAAGAAAUAUAAUCUCUACAUUCAAAUAGAUUCACAUACAGCUAUGAAGGAGGGAGAAAUUCAGAUUUCUAAUGUGCAUCUGUGGAAGUGAGCACUGAGGACCACAGUACCAGUGUCAUUGAUAUUCCCACACCAUGGGAUACUCUUGCGACCUUAGAGGUGAGUUAAUGAGGCUCUGGAACACAUUCCUCCCUGAAGCUAUAUGUAUAAAUACAGCUCCUGGAGGUUUUGUUUCUAGACAGUCUCUUUGUUGAGGGGAGACUAGCCCAGAGAUGCCUACAGCAGCCUGUAUAACUAUAACCACUUUGCAGUCUUCCCCACAGGAGGUCCAACAAACCAAAAUGCUGUUGUGUUAGCAUAUAUGCUGGACUGGAUUUCUGCAGAACACUCCUUCCUUCUUAAGAGAGCAUUAAAGUGGAUAUUCCAUCAAUUCUUUCACGGCACAUCCACUCAAUCCCCUCUGCUUUUCAGAGAUAGCACCAUAAAAUUGCUGAUUGCAGGUGAACGUAAGUAUUACACCACAUCUCAGCUUUUCUAGGGAGUUCACAACAGCUCCUGUACAGCUGGCAAUAUGCUAGAAAGAGGAUUGCUUGCUCAGUACUGUUAUUGACCCGCUGUACAGCAGAAAGGAAAUAGGCAAGGUCAAAUAGAUCAAAGGUAGAAUGUUGAGGCAGAAACUUGCCUUGCUUAAGAAAGGUAGAAGUAACAUGGAGAAAACGACUUGGGUAAAACCGUGGGAUUAGAUGACUGUUACAGGAACUUGAUCAACUACUAGGACUGAAAAAUAAAUCCUCUAUCUGUAUCUCUCUGCCUCAAAUAGCACAAAUCUAAAACAAGUAUAACAAGGACUGAUUCUACUGAGAUGGCUUUCAUCAAACCCUAAACUAUGGUGUACUUAUGCAUAUAAAAACAUAAAUGCAUAUAUGAUUCCAUUUUAACACUAACAAGAAUUUCUACUGUAUAAAUAUUAAAACCAAAGGGAAAAUAUAUUUUCAAUAUUCUAAUUUUCGUAUUAAAAAUCUGUAGUAACAUGAAUAAACCCCAGACAGGGAAAAUCUGAGUUUUUGUUUUGUAUUACUUCAAGAACAGAUGCACUUAAAACUACUCAAGCAUAGAAACUUCACAGAUAAUUCUCAACCACUGAAAGUAAAGAAUUCCAAAUUCCCAAUUUCCCGGGAGCACAACAGAUCAUUCAUCUCCGUCAAAUCCCCAUGAAGUAAAUUAAUCCUUUCCAAUUAUCCUUGCAAUGCAUAUUUGGGAUAACAGUUCUCUACUUUGAAAUGUACAUGACGUGUGGAGCUUCCACUCAUUUUAGUGAGAUAAAAAGCACAUUUCCAAUUUGGAUCUUUGAAAAAGUCUGACAUUCAGUAUUUAUUAUAAUAACAGAGAUUAAGAAUAGUCCUACUGAACACUAAUAUUUAAAGACAUAUUUCUUUCAGAAGUGAUAUUACAACACAGGACAAUGAACACACUCCCAGAAGUAUAUACUUCAAGCAAAAAAUAUUUCCUGUGAUAAAUACAGAAUUAAAAAAGGUAUUACAUGUUAAUUCAGAUGGAAAUGGAGUAGUUACAUACUUUCAAAUCUAAAUUCCAGCUAUUUACAAUUUCCCCAGCAAUUGCACAACAAUAAGAAAUCUGCAUUCAAGGUUUUCUGUCAUCACAUUGGGUUUGAGAAAAACAGCACACACACACAAAAAAAAGAUCAGAAUCCAUCAAAAUUUUGUAAGAGAAAAAAUGUGGAAAUCCUUUGCUCUCUGCUUCUUUCUCAGUGACAUUAGGCUAUUUAGUAUUUUUGUCUCCAUAGAUCGGGUAUUCAAUAUUAAUUCCCUCAAUUAUUCUGGUAAAGUCAGUACAUGCCACAGUGCAUGCUUUAAAUGUAUUUUAUUUUCCAUACAUCAUUUUCUUCAUCAGCAUAAAUGGGUUCUUGCAUGUACAACCUACCCCUUGCAUGUACACCUGAACAAUCUGGCAGUUCAAAUGCGUAUAUUAUGUAGGGAAAGUGUUGAAAUUUACAUAUCUGUUCCAUUUAAAUUUGAAAACUGACUUCCAUAGGGAAGGUUCUUAUCCUUAUUUGACAUGUGGCACAGGCCAAAGAUCUGCAGUUGUAUCUACUGAAAGGAAACCAACACAAACAGUGAGAGAGAAAGAUAUGAGCAAUUUGGGUGAUGUGAUUUCUUGGACUUUCAGUUGUGUGUGUGUGAUUGUCAUAUACUUUUGUGUCAGAUAUUUGGCUAUCUAAAUAUUUCACUUUUCACAUGACAUAGUCCUAAGAGCAUGUAGUAUAAAUCACUUAUGAGAAGAUAGUCAUGUGAAUGGCAUCUCACAGACAAACAAUAAUUUCUAAGUUCUAAUUGAACAUAAUCCAAACACAGAAUAAUAUUUUGUUUGGUUAAAGAAGAAUUCUACAGGAAUCAAAGGCUUAGCCCUACAUUCCUUCCUUAUGUCAAUAUUCCUAUUGAAUUCAAUGGGGUGCUUUAUGUAUAUUGCUUGCUCUGAAAGUAAUUCCUCCUACUUAUUUCCAUGGAAACUACAAUGGAUACAAAGAGCACAAUAACACUAUUUGACAGAGCAGAUUCUCGGCUACAAAACACUAUUUUUCAACAUAAUCACCACCAUGAGAUAUGCAUUUUUACUGUGAUGAACAAGAAAUUACAUGCCAUAGUCAUAAAAAUCUGCACCAGCAUAGGUGACCCACCGUUUCUGUUGCUACUGUUGAAAUGCACUACCCACCACUGUGUUCAUACUCACUUCUUAGUCUCCCUAAACGUUCAGUAAGCACUGAUGAAUGUCAAUAGGUGAAAUUUUUCCACAUGGAGUAACGUAAAGCACACCUUUUCUUUAAACAUUAUUUCUAUAUGUCGUAGUUUUCAUGGAAACAAAUAGGAGGCAUUACUUCUAGAGCAAACUAUGUACACGCUUCACUAUGGCUGGAUUUACUACCUACAUGAGGUUCAACACUGAGGUUGUUCUCCAUAUUGAUUAUCAAAUGAAACUGUAACCUAGGAUUAUCCACCUUUGUCUUGUGCAAAUUCUUUUGGCUAGUGGCAAUGAUAUUAGCAUGCCAUAGGAGAGCAGUCUAUAAAGUUGCCAGGAGGUACAGAAGAAAGAUAUUGCAGAGAUAACAUCUCAGGGAAAAAUAGGAGAAGAUAGGUCUUGGUGAUAUGCAAAUCAAGCCUUGAGAAACAGUCCACAGUGAAGGUCCCUGCAGGGAUCUUUUAAAUAGAAAUGAUUUUUAGUCAAUAUAGUCAGAGUUCAAAAUAAAAGAAUUUGGCCCUUGACUCUAAAUCUGGCUGAUUCAUUAUUAAUAGUUAUUUAAGAAGUUUUCUAACCAGUAGUUCAAAGUACAAACCUAUUGUAGAGAUAACAUCGUACAAUAAUAAUAUACAUUCAGUAUUUUAAAAAGGUUUUUCUAAACACAGAACAUGUAAAGAAAAGCACUAUAUACUGAGAUUCAUCCAAAUUCUUGCAAAGAGCAGAAUAUUCUUAUCCUAACAUGCCCAGAGGGAAAACAGAAAUUUUGGAGCAGAAGUCCAACCUCUUACAGCAUUGCUGUUCAGUUUUCAGUGAAUCCAACUGAAGCCCAUCCAAGUUGUCUUGUUGCUGAAUCCAUGCUAUGUUUGCUAUGUUAGACUGAACUUGUCAUCCUUCCCUUAGAGUUGGAGCUGAAUGUGGAGUUGCAAACAAGAGGUAAUACAUAAACAAACUUGAACUUGAGCAUAUGAAGCUUCGUACUAACAUGCAGAAGAACUUCUUUAUGGCAAAGGUGACACAGCAUUGGAACAGAGAUGUCCAGGGAGGUUGUGGAGGCUCCUUCUAUGGAGACAUUAGAGACCUGCCUGGAGAGCUACCUGUGAGACAUAUUGUAGGGUAUCUGCUUUAGCGGAGGCGUUGGACUUGAUGAUUGCUUGAGGGCCCUUCCAACACCAGUGAAUGUGAUUUUCUGUGAUUGUGUGAUUGAACAAGGCUGCAUAAGGUUUCCACAAAAGAAAGACAGAAAUGUCAAGGCAGUUGCUUCCUACAGCCACCACCCGGAGGCAGGAAAGUGGGAAUCUGCAUGCAGUGUCUCCUACAUGCAUAUCUACAAAAUUCAAUCCAGCCCUCCAUUUUCCAUUUUCUCAAAAUGUUUUUGUAUUCAUUCAAAGAGUGAGACAUGACAGAAUGCAUGUGGAUAUGAGAUAACAUGUGCCUCAGGGCUAGUAUCAGGAGGAAGGUGAAGGCAACAACCCCAGACAUGAAGGUGAAGACAGUGAUGCAAAAUGCAGUUCAUCUCACAGCUGCACAAACCUGGAAGCCUCAUUACUGUGAAUAUAAGUCUUGAAUGAUCAAAAAAAAAAAAAAAAAAAAAAAGGAAAAACAUAAUUUCCCUGAUGACUGUGUAAUGUUCUAUCUUCACUGAUACAAAACAUAACACAAAAGAAGUAAACAAAAAAAUAUGAAAGAAAAUGCCUUUUAAGAUAUGUGGAUCAUUAAAUUUGCAGAAAGGAACAGCUGCAUUCCUGGAUUGCAGUGUUAUCAAAUGACUGCUCAGAGGCAGAUUGCAGUGUGAAGCCAUAAUGCCUCAGUGUAUGACAUUGUGGUCACAGAUGUCCUUUGCUUCAUACACCUUGCUGAAGUGGUUUGCAGGUGGGAUUUGCUUUCAGCUGAUUUUUAUUUUCAUUCUCUUUCAUUAAUGCAUAAUACUAAACUGACUUCUUGUUUGCCUAAUGUGUCAAAGCUUCCGACUUCUCACAUGCGCACAGCUUUCCCCUCAAUGUCAUGACAGUAUUUAAGAAACAUGGGAUUGACCCAGAAAAAAGAGCUUUUGGGAAUAAACCAGAUAUUUGUGUUUUUGAAAGUACUUCUGCUUCAGAGUGAAGUAUCAAGUCAUACUGGUACUAAUUCCUGUGGUGGAUUUUAACACUUCAUUGAUCUAUAGACAGAUCAGUCCUAACAGGUUGGUAUUUACAAGGUUUUGUUUUGUUGUGUUUUGUUUUUAUUUAAUUGUUUAGCAAAAUACAAGCUUGUACAAAAGAUGAAAAUCCAUUUCUACACAGAUUGAGAGCUCAACAGCAUUGGCCAUUCUGUAGCUAGGCUAUGUCUGAUAAAUAGAAUAUACCUAAGAAAAGGGGAAUGUGAUUUGAAAUAUUAAGGAGUGUUUCCAGGGUAAUAGUUCUAAGGACAAGUGGAGAAAGAUUAUAUCUGGCUAUCUAUCUAUGUGUCUCAUAGGACUGCAGUAUAUACUACUUCUAGAUACCAGGGCUAAUCUCAUCUUUAAUAUCCUACUUUCAAGAAGAUUAAGAUUCAUCCACACAGCAGUACUACAAAGGGUGACCAGUCUUCCAAAUUUGAGGAGGUAGAUGUUGAUACUGCAAAGCAACGUGGAGCAGCUGGAGCUGGUGUAAGCAGUGCCAAGAGGAAUGGACUUUAGCAGGCAAUCAGGCAAGCAGAAAGUAGCAGCAGGCCACAUCAUGUCCUGUUGAAAAUGAUGGAGAAAUGUCAGGAAUUCAGGGGUAGUUAAUGGAGCAUGCAUUACCAGAAGACUGUGGGGAUGGAUAUGCAUACUAAGGGUUAAUCUUGAACACAGCUGUAUACUGUGCUGGCAUAUAAGCUUAACAUACUUAAUCAGGUGAUUUAUGCAAUGUAGAAUAGAGAAGCAUAAAUGUCUAUCUUCUGGUACCUAAGUCCAUUAACAUUAGAAUUAGACGUCAUCUAUAUCCAGUAUGCAUUAUUUUACUUAUGAUUAUAUAUUUAUUCCUUUAUCAGAUUUUUGUUUAAAUGAGCUUCAAUGAACACAAAAGACCUGAAUAAUUUGAUGUGCAAUAAAUGUGUCCUCAUAGCAUUAUUAUUCCUUAAAUAGAGGAAAGAAUAUGUCUAGAUUAGCUCAAAUGACAAUUCCCUAUCUUACAUUAGGUUCCCUAAGUUACAGUGGAAAACAUUCAUGCAAUCCCAAAUGAAAGAGUUCAAAAAAAUGACAGAAGGUAUAGUUAAUUAGUUGACUGGAUUAUUCAAUCCUUGCAUAAAGGCAUGAGCUCAGCUUUAGUGAAGAAGUAAGAACUGACAGAAGUUAAUGCCUUCUUUAAACAUCUUAGACUCUUGUCAAAAUUAUAAUUGCAAUGAUUUCCUGUAUUUGGUAUAACAGAGGGCUGAUCUUUUUUUACCUGCUAGGAGUUUUCCUGUUAGAAAAGAGAACUGAAUAAAUCGAAUAAAACACAAGGGUAUCACAUGCAUUAGUACCUAUUGUGUUACGUACUGUACGAAACACCUUGAAAAAACAAUGUUCCUUAUGUUAAAGGCACUUUUAGUAUGAGAGGGACAAAAAUGACAAACAGAAAAAGACAGACAGAUGGAAGAACAAGAAAACAGUGACACAGUUGGUCAUCCUGACAGGCAGCAUUGCCAGUACAUCCCUAGCAUGACAGCUGUCAAAAUUUUGUUUAAAUUCACAGUAAAAGAAAGUUUUACAGAGGCAGCUAAGGAAAAUCUCCUACAAAAACAGUGAAGUGAAGCAAGCUAAAAAUCAAAAAUAUGUAAGACAAAUCAGAAUGAGGGUUUUUUUUUUUCCCCCUCUGAUACACUUUCCUUCUGAGGGAAUAAAAAAUAAAAAAGAAAAUGGUUUAUUUUCCAGAUGUCUAGAUCCAUACCCCAGUAUGAUAAACUUUCUUUUCAUUCACUGAUGUUCUGCAUUCAUUGUCCUAAUCCAACUGAAGAAACCCUUAUCUUUACUUGAAAUUCCCCUAUCUCCUAGAAAAUUGAUGUGUAAUGCUUAUAAGAAAAAAGCUGCUUUUCCUCUGAACACGUUUCCCACCUUCAGACACACCAGACAUUUUCAGAGUGUCAAGUAUGUAGGAAACAUGGCUUUGUUCACAUGAUAGGAAGGCCCUACAGAGUGAUUUGGACAGGCUGAAUAACUGGGCUGGGACCAAUGGGAUGAAGUUCAAGAAGACCAAGUGCCAAGUUCUGCCUUUGGCCACAGCAAUCUCAGGCAACACUGCAGGCUUGGGGCAGAAUGGCUAGAAGACUCUGUAGAAGAAAUGGAUCUGGAAGAUUUGGUUGACACUUGGCUGAACAUGAUCCAGCAGUAUGCCCAGGUGGCAAAGAAGACCAACGGCAUUCUGGCUUGUAUCAGAAAUGGUGUUGCCAUCAGGUGCAGGGAAGAAAUCAUCCCCCUGUACUCAGUCCUGGUGAGGCUGCACCUUAAGUACUGUGUUCAGUUUUGGGCCUGUCACUACAAGAAAGAGAUUGAGGCCCAGGAGCGUGUCAAGAGAAGGGCAAGAAAGCUGGUGAGGGUUUUCUAGCACAGGUCUUAUGAGAAGUGCCUGAGGGAACUGUGAUUGUUUAGUCUGGAGAAGAGGAGGCUCAGGGAAGACCUUAUCACUCUCUAUAGCUACCUGAAGGAAGGUUGUGGUGAGGUGGGCGUCAGCCUCUUCUCCCAUGUAACUAGCUAUAGGACUAGAGGGAAUGGCCUCAAGUUGCGCCAGGGGAGAUUCAGAUUGGAUGUUAGGAACUAUUUAUCUGAGAGAGUGGUCAGGCACUGGAAUGGGCUGCUCAGGGAGGUAGUGAAGUCAUCAUCCCUGGAGGUGUUCAAGAAAUGUUUAGGUUUUGUACUGAGGGACAUGGUUAGUGGGAUAUAUUGAUGAUUGGUAGACAGUUGGACUUUUCCAACCUUCGUGAUUCUAUGAUUCUAUGAUCAACAACUGCACUGUGAAAAUACCCAUGAAGAUGUAGAAAUAGAUUCCUACCCAUAGUCAGUUCUGCAUGCGGAAAAGGGAUUAAAAGCAUAAGCCUAAGAAUUCCAGGAAAUCAAAAGAUAUUUGGGGAAGCAAAAAUAAAUGAUCUUCUGUGAAAUUCAGAUGGGAUGAGAUUGUGUUAUUUGUGACUAUCCUAGGAGAGUGCUCUGAAAAUAAUGCCUCCUACUUUAUGCUGGCUCAUGACAUCAGAGGUGGAUGUUGGUGAUAUGGCAGUAGAGACUGAAACUUCCUACCAAUAUUUUGUUAUAUUUCGUUGAUGUGAGAGCAGCAGAGGGGCAGUCUGUCAGAAUACCAUCUGACAUGGAAGUGCAUGUGAAGCAAAGGUGUGUCACUGAAUUCCUUCAUGUGGAAAAAAAUGAUACCCACUGGCAUUCAUUGAUGCCUGAGAAUUUGGCUCUAUCAAAUAGUGUGAUUGUGCUCUCUUCCAUAGAAAUAAAUAGGAGGCAUUACUUUCAGAGUGACUUACAUACAAGCACUACCCCUUUCAGUACCCAUUCUGAAAAUCAACCUAAGCAGCAAAAAUCAAAUCUGACCUUGGAAAUGGUGGUGUUAUGACCCAGAAGCUGGUCAAAAAUCCUGUCAGUAAUCUUUCUAGCUAUAUACAGAACAAUACAGUUUUUCUAAAGCUCAUGAAGACUUCAUGACAUAGUGCGCCAUUUAUUAAGCCAGAACUAAAUGAUACAGACUUUCCAAAACAAAGCACCAUCAUUUAGCUCCUCAUUUUAUCUCCAGAACUCAUUGUGACAAUAUUUUCAGCCAGAUCAUAAUCACUUAAAAUGCACAUUUAAAUAGUAUACUACUCUGUAUGCAAAGAUUGAAUAUAAAGAAAAUGUAAAACAAGGUUUUCAAAAUGAAGAAAUACUGAAAUUAGCAUUGCUGUUUGUUUCCCUUUACUGUCCACACCCUCCUGACUAUUCUGUCUGUAAAACUGAAUGAAGAACAGAAAAUCAAAUAUGUUGAGAGUCUACUAUUGAUCUAAAUGAGUAACAGGAUGUCCUAUAGAGUAACAGAAACACUGGGGGAGGGAGACAGGAAAUAAAUUAAGAAAGGAAGAAUUAUUCAUAAUGGAAGCUACUCCUGUCUCCCAAGGAUUCAGCAUCUUAGAUUUAUGUUUGUUCUCUCACACUGAUCUGCCUCGUUUCCAUUGUUUGUUUCUGCUAUUACCCAGCAGGCUUUUGCAAAAAGGUGCAGAUUGUACCAGCUUUAAAAAAAUACUGUAUCAGUGUCAGCUGUGCUAUUUCAAGUAAUCCAGGUUGAAGAUCUGCAAAUGACUUCUAAAUAAAAAACAAAACAAAACAAAAUAAAAUAAAAUAAAAUAAAAUAAAAUAAACUAUGAAAUAGAUUUUGGCAAGCAUGAAUACAUUUGGUAUUAUUAAAGAGUACCAUUCCCCUUUUCACAUCACGGCAGCACAAGAACAGAAUUUGUAGCUGCUGCUCCAAAGAUUUACAGGAUAAAAACUGGCUCAUUGCAUCUGAUGAUGCUUCUCACUUGCAAAAGAGCAGCAGCUUGACAUAUCACAAGUCCCCGUGCUGCAACAAGCACAGGCAAAUACUGACAUCUUGUCAGUAACUCCUGACCUUGAGUUAUGCAGCACUAUGCUGGCAUAACUACUCAAGCACAUAAGCGACUAAGUCAUUUUCUAAAACUCUCACAGAUAAGAAUCAGAUACUGUGCUUGUCUGAUGGAGACAGUUGAACAUACUAUAUUAAUACUAGUAUCUUCUAAAACAUAUCCUGAGCCUUAGAAGUCCACUGUUUGAAUAAAUUCAUCAACAAGAUUUCAGUGUUUUCCUGCAUGGUUGUACUCUUCUGUAUCUGUAAUGUAUCAGUUGUCCAAGGUAGUCCACCAAGCUGUCAUUCCCCUCCACCUAGAACCAGAGUCAGUCUUGUACACUGAGUUGCGCCAACAAAACAUUCUUAGACAAGAGCACUGCUGACGCUUUACUUGCUGAUAUCAUGCUGAUGAGUUCAAACGGUUCCAGCCACUCUGCAAUAUUAUUUGCCAUCUCCUAAGAUAACAUCCAUCAGUGGACACACUAUAAGAACGGUGCAAACCUUUUACUAAUCAAUGUUUUGAUAAAUGACCGCUCAAUUUGUUUACUAAAAAGCAUUUAACUUAAAUAAGAUCUCAUCAUUCUGCUUUUGCUCUCCACUGGUAAGACAUUCCCUUGUUAAAAAGAAUUCUUUCAGCUUUGGUAUCCUUAAGAUUAUUGAUAAUAGAUGGUCUUUUCCUCUUUAUUCUUUAGGCCCUGUCCUACAGAUACCAAUCUAUUCCCAAAACUGCAGACAACAUUUCCCAUCCAGGAAUUAAGCUUUAGAUUUGAGAAUGUCAGCUACACAAGAAAGGCAUCUCAAACUAUUACUAAUACUCCAUUUCAGUCUACCAUGAGAAAAAUCAGAAAAAUGAAGAUAUUUAUGAUAAGCAAUCACUGAUAGAAAUCAUAAACAAAUAAGUCUCUGUCUUUGAAUACAUCCCACUUCUCACUUGUACAGUAAGGGCAAAACAAGUAUUUUCCUUCUAUUCAGUGUUGCAAUGCCCUAGGCUUUACACAAAGUGCAGUUGUUACAAGGAAGAUACUAUUUCUUGCAAGGAAAGUACUAAUACUGCCCUAAAGAAUUGCACUCUAAACUGUGCACUGGCAACACAAUACAAAUACAUAUUUGAGCAGGCAAAUUUGAGUUGACAGGUGAAAGCCUAUGUUUAAGGGACAAGCAAUGCUUUACGCAGGAGCUGAAGUACUGGUUCACUCUAAAGAAAAAACUGGUUUCUAACAAUGACCUGCGGGAGAAGUACAUGCAAAGAUCAUUAGAGAUGAGCAGUUCUCUUAUUCCCAGGUCCUCUGUAUUACUGACAGGCAGCUUCAAGAAGUAAGUAAAUUUAUUUCACAAAACUCAAAAAAAAAAAAAUCAUAAUUUAACUUAAAUUUAUUAACAUUAGAAAAGCUCAAUUUUAUCUUCAAAAGUCACGACCAUUGAUUUCUGAAAGAAUUUAUUUUGGUAUAUCUCUGCCAAGGGACUUAUUUUCUGUGACAUAAAUAGUUGUUCUGUGAAGUCAGGCUGUCUCAUAGCAUAUAUUCCUCUCAGCGGAAUCAACACACUACUCAGAACUCUUCACAGAACACAGUUGCUUUAGGAAGUAACGUCACUCCAUUCAAGAGAAAAGAUGAUACAAGGCAGAAGGACAUAAUGCAAGGGCCUCAGACUUUUCAAAGGAAAGCUCUAGGGUGACCGUAUGUUGCUUCUGAGCAACCAGUAAGCUCUGUCAGUCUAACCAAUGGUGCUUGUUCUAUGCAUGGAAAAGAGUAAGGGGAAAUGAAAUUAUCCAUGUUUGGAAUGAAUACUGAACGUAAAAUUUUGUAAUGGAGGUGCAGGAGUAAGAAAAGAAAAUUUAAUACCUUUUGUAAAUCAAAACAGAUUAAGUUAAAAUAUAACUACAAAAGAUUAACCUCAAUCUUUGAGAAAAAAAAAUGCAGUUAUACGGAAUCUCACAGAAGCACCAUUUUUCCCCCUCAUUUGUUUCUUUUUUUUAUUUAUUGUCUUCAAUGAACUUUCUAUAAUUGCACUCAGAAUUUGACCCUAAAGUCAAAUAAUUAAGAUUGAAAUCCUCCUUUUUUACAAUUAUUCAUUAUAUUUUUAAGCUAAUAUGUUUGUUGCUUAUUUUUAUUGUCCCAGUGUAGUAACUUUUAAUCAGAUUCACAUAGUUAAAUAUACUUUUUUUCUGACAGAAGUUGUGUAUCUAUCAGUCUUAUUCAAGAGCAUGAAUUUUAUCCAGGUAAUUAUGAGUAACUGAUCAGGUUUUCUGCAUGUCUGGGGUCCAGCUUUUCAAGAUUUCCUCUGUUCCUUACAUUGGAUACGUAGAAAAAAAAAAAACAUUCCUCUGAAUUUCCAUCUAUACUCUCUUUCAAGGUCAUAGGGAUCUUCCGUAGUUCUCUCCUUCACAUUUUCCUCUGGAUCCCUCACUUUGUCUUUGUCCCUGAGAAUGAUACUCUUGCAAGUGUUUUCCAUCCCAGCUCUGGAUUCUAUAGCCUCACUGACACCCAGAUGAACUCAAUUCCUCUGCCUCCAUCUUAUAUGUAUAUAAAACGUUAAUAUAUAUUAUCUGUAUAUAAACCUUUUCCUUUAAACUGAUUGUAAUAAUUUUUAUUACUUUUAAGGGGAGUGUUCCAGUUCUGGCUUUCAGGAAAAGUAAUGUCCAUUCUAUGAUUCUAUGAUUCGUACAUUUCAAACCUAUUUUCCUGAGUAAAAAUGGUGGAGAAUAUUCUUUUCAUCAUAUCACUUUUAUUAUGUGAUAUUUGGAUGAGAAGAAACCAUGAUGGUUUUGGAAAAAACUGCUUACACAAUGCUGCUUAAUUAAUAUAAUUGGUCUAUGUACGUCACUCUGAAAAUAAUGCCUCCUAUUUAUUUACAUAGAAAAUGCACUAGAUACAAGGAGCACAAUAACACUAUUUGAUAAAGCAAAUUCUAAGCUAGAAAACACUAUUUUUUAACACAGUGACCACCAUGAGCUCCACAUUUCACCAUCCAUGAACAAGAGCCUGCAUGCUGCACUUCUAAAGAUAUGCACCAAAAGAGGUGAAUCACUUUCACUGUCACCACUGCUGAAACACACCACCCACUGCCUCAUUGAGUUCACAUCCACUGUUUGGUUUCCAUAAACAUUCAGCAAGCAUCGAUGAAUGUCAGUGGGUGUAAUGUUUUCCACGUGGAGGAAUUCAUUGACACACCUUUGCUUCAUACAAACCUCCUUGUCAGACUGCUCCUCUGCUGCCCUCUGUCACACAGCAACAAAACAUAACGGAAUACUGGUGGGAAAUUUCAGCCUUUACUGCCAUACCACCAACAUUUGCCUCUGAUGUUGUCAGUCAACCUAAACAAAUAGGAGGCAUUAUUUUCAGAACAUCCCUCGUACAUCCUUAGGAAUGGGGUAGCAGUCCAAAUAUAGGGUUGAAAGAUCAAGAUGAUUACCAGCUAUUCAUGGAGAACUGGAAAAAGCAAUCAAAGAGGAUGUGAGUUAUUAUCCAUAUCAGUUUAGGUUCAGAACCUAUGGGAGGGAGAGAGCCCUCCCAUAAAAUCAGUUUAGAAGGAUGAAAAAGAAUCCGUUUGUUUAGCACUGUGUCUGAGACAAAACCAAAUAGACUUACUGCUGUAAAUACACUCCUCUACUGGCCUGCAGGAAAACAUCACGGAUCCUCAGGAGGAAAUAGUGGGAGAUUUUUAUGACUUAAUAAUAAUAAUAAUAAUAAAAUUUUAAAAAAUGAAAUAAAUCCUGUGUUUACUCUUGCUAUAGUCUCAAGCCUCACUGAAACCUUAGCAGUGAUAAAAGGGAGGGCUGUUGAGGUGGGACUUGUGAUUUUGGGAUCCUGGAGGUAAUGUCUGCUUUCCCUUAUGGAACCAUUGCUCUCUCUGUACACUUUCUACUCACCCACUUAUGGGAGUGGGUGGAAGGUUGGGGAGAAGUCAAGUCCUUCUCAAGGACAACAAAAGAGGCCUUUGUAAAGCAACAUGGACGCUAAAGUCCUAAGGGAGGUCCUAAGGGAUUAAAACCAGAGAAAAAAAAAUAAUCCUUUGGUCCUCCAGACACAACAGUGGAAACAAACUACUUCUCCUUUACUUAAUAUUUAAAAUAUUAAAAGUUUGCAAAUUCCCCAAAAUGGAAUCCAAUUAUCCUUACAAACAGAACCUGAUUUCCCCAAUUCUCUGAGCCACUGAUGCUCAGCAGCUGGCUGAGCUGUUUUGCACUCUAGAAUCUAGGACAGCUGACAGUCAACAGAUUUACUUUGCUGAGAGGAUUUGCUGGUAAUUUUGUCCAGCUUCUGUCUUCCAAUGACAGUCAAUAUUUUCCAAGUAAACUCAUCCAUGAAUUCAUGUAAAGGCCUGAUUUAAAGCAUUAGGCACUGACACAUCCCCUUUUACUGCUUUAGAUACAGUUCUAACUCCACCAAAAGAUAAGCAUUUUGAUGGAAUGCAGUGAUCAUUUAUGUGCUGUUAAAGUAACACAGACAAUUGAGCACCUUAAAAUGCUGACGUGUUACUCUCUGAAUGUCUUCUGUUUCAAUGAUCAAAAACUGGCCACAAAGUUAUAUACUAAAAAAAAGCAUAUAAAAAUCUGACUAGUGCACAGCAAUGCAACAGUGAUGCUCUUGGUCCAUGAUUCUCUCAAUGAUAAUUAAGGGCUAAAAUCAGUAUAUUUUUCUUGCUAGAUAGCUACAAAAUGAGGAGGGGAAGGGAAUACAGAAAGGAGGAAAGGGAAGUAGCAAAGUACUUCGAUCAAUCACUUAUCAAACUUUUCCUGGUGCACCUGUACCUUUGGGAACCUGAAUAACUCACUGAGGUGACACAUGCAGUUCACUGUUCCCUGGCUAAAGCCAUGAUCACCAGACAGUAUUCAGAGUAGUGUGCUACACUCAAACUAUUGAUGUGCUGGCAACAAAUAUCCUGUGUGAAGAUACUUUUGUCAAAACAGACAUUGUUCUGUCUAAAUGUGCUUAAAAUCAAAUUAGUAUCACUAAGCAGCAAUCAACAGGUGGGUAAAAGUGUAUGAUACCAGUUAAUUAAAGACAGUUCACAAUUCUAUCUUUCUGACAAAAGACAGACCAGGCAGAGUCUCUGAAAUGCUUGAACUCUGUUUUGUGCCAUGAUAAACAUGCACCAAUUGUUGGAAAUGGUCUUGAUUGAGUCAAGCUAUUGUAAAAUCCAUAAGUUCUCUCUCUCACCCAUACCACUUACUGAUAUGCUCUAUUUAUUUAAAGUUUGAAAAGAUACAGAUGGUAUUUAAACUGUCUGAAAUCACAUGUCAAUAAUGCACAACAGUUCUGAUUAUUAGGGAUCUCCUUGCUGCCAUAUAAUCUGUGUAAGGUCUCACUUAAUGCAAAACUGAACCAUUCAAAUGUUCCCAACUAUGACUACUGAGAUAAUGUCCAUUAUUGCAAGAUCUAGGUCACUGUUAUUUUAAAGCAGAGUCAUGCUACUAGUCAUAUUUGCUAGUCAUACAAACACCUUUCAGACAAAAGCAGCUGCAAUUUCUCCUCUAAAUAAGUUUUAAAGACUUUUGAAAGACAGAGAUGGUAAAAAUAAGUUGCACUCCACCAUAAUGCAUGGUAGAGUGCAAUGUCACAGAGGUUGUGGAUGCCCCAUCCCUAAGGCAUUCAAGGCCAGUCUGGAUGUGGCUCUGGGCAGCCUGGUCUAGUGGUUGGUGACCCUGCCCACAGCAGGGAGGUUGAAACUAGAUGAUCUUAGAGGUCCUUUUCAACCCAGGCCAUUCUAUGAUUUUUCCCACAAUGUGUACAAUUUAUUGUGAAAAUCAUUCAGUCCUUUGUGUGGAGGAAACUAGUACAACAUUUACAGGAGCAAAUUACAGAAUAAUUUCAGAAUGGAUGCUCACAGUAAAGAAUAAUGCAUGUGAAUUAAAUACUGGAAUAAAUGUUAAGUAAUAACAAUGUCUUAAAUCCAUUGGUUUAGAAGGAGAUUUCUUCAUUCAGGCAUCUGUUCAUUUAUAUCAAAUGGUUUUGCUCCUCUGUCACUGAGAUAUUUUUAACUUUUCUUCCCCUUCUCUCAAAAUCUGUUCAUUCAAAUAGUCUCAUCUUGACAUAUCACUGAAAUAUAUUUCUGCUAUGGUUAAGAAAGUAGACAGGACUCACUCAGUAAGACAAUAAAUAAUUCAAAGUGGUGACCAGGAUGCAGUUCUACACACAACUGCAAAAUUUGAAACCUGCUGGGCAGAAAUCAGUCACAGUCCAGAUGUCCAGAAUGAUAUCUUUUCAUACUUUCCCCAAGGAAAGUAAAUGCCUCUCCCCCCAUCUUUUUUUUCUUUUUUUUCUUUUUUUUUCUUGUCUCCUGUUAUGAGAAUAUUCAUAAUACUAUCCCCAACUCUACGAAAAUCCAUAUCACACUGUGGUUAUUCUUCCUGGGUUUUCUUGUUUUUACUAAGAGAAGAGCAUAUCAUCUUUAUUUAUACCAAGAGAUGAGCAUACCAUCUUUAUUUACACCAAGAGAUGAGCUUACCAUCUUCAGAUGAACAGAAGAUACUCCUAGAGUUACAAGCACAGAGAAGGGAAACAGCACACUUGUCAUGGGUAAUAUAGCUAAAUAUCACCCUGAAGUAGAACAAUUAUCCUAUGGUGCAUAUAUCAAAAUACUUCAAAUUUCCAGCAUCUUCUGAGUCACUAAGUUUAUUUAAAAUAGCUUGCAAUCAAUAACUUUAAGAAGUUAAAUAUAAGAGAGGUUUGAUUUUGCUUUUCUAGAAAAAAAAAAAAACAAAAUAAGGAUACUGCUUUUAAGAUAACCAAGCAUAAGUAAGGUCAUGGUUCUGGCCAACAAGAUAACUGGAUCCAUAACCAAAGCAAUACUUUAAUUUCUAUGUGACCUAAUUUGUUAACACUGGUAUUAAGCACACCAAAAGCAAGUAGAAAUCUGAAAUCCAAGCUUUUUUCUUCUUAUAGCCUGUGUCACUGCACAGUUACACAUACAAGGUAUGGCACACUUCAUCAGUAGGGAAAAGACUACCACAGAAAAGAUUCCUUUUGUCAAGAUAAGUUAAAGUAAUGUUCUGAUCUUCAGCAAAGAUAUGCAGUAAUUUUGAGUAUUUGUUCUUAUUGCUUCCUACAAAUGCUUAAUGCAUUACUGAAUACUUGCACAAACUCCUUCCAACUACAUACACAACGCUUAGAAGGAUUCUUCCAGUGCCAUCUUUAUCCACAAUGAUCCUCAUUCUUCAAAAUUAAAAAUUGUUUUUCUGCAAGAUUAAAAAAUUCAUAAUCCGUUCAGCACUGACUGCCAAACAUGCUCGUGUGACAAGAUUUUGGCCAAGGUGAUAAACUGGGCAUUUUUCCUAUGUCACGUGACUUUUGUUGCUUAUUUGGCAUCGUGAAAAUGAAAGGAUUUAUUUUAUCAUCAUUUUCACAUAUAUUUUACCUUUGCCAAAUCCAGUUUUUAGUAUGUGUUCUAAUCAGACUUAAUUUUGGCCUUGAGGGAAAAGAAAAUUGAGCAGUCAAGGCAUUGCAGAGCAGCCAACAUCCGUGAGUGAAAUUCAACUUUGGCGUAACCUAACUGGUUGGGCUUCAGCAGGAAAGUGUCUGUACAGGGGGAGCAGGGAUGGAGGUGGCAGGUAUUUGGAAGAGCAUACAGAAAAUUGCCAAAGCAGUUCAGAAAUCCCUGCAGUAACAGCUCCAAAAACUGACAAACAAGAGCAGGAAAAUCAAACCUGAACAAAUAAUUUGCAGUGCGUGUACAUAAAUUUACCUGGAAAAUCCAUUGCUCACUCUUAAUCCCUUGUUAAUCUUGAGCGUGACAUAAGUUUUCAGGCUAGAACUCCACAGGAUGAUGAGUGAUGAACAGGGAUGUUUCAGCUGGGCAGAAAAAAAACAAGCCUUGGAACACCAGAAACUCGUUCUUCUGAACAACACACACUUAAGGCAGCAAAAAAUUUAUACAGGAUGCAAGCAGCUCAGGCAUUUCCUGGAAUCACUUUUAUUUCUCUUAAUGCAGUAUAUGCUUUAAGUGCCCCUUACUUGACAAGGGAGCUGAAGUUGGUUCUUCAAUACAGAAUAAAAACGCAGUGAUGUAACACAGAGUUGCAUCUUUACAUUUGUCAGCAUGGUUGUGAUGAGAUUCAUAGCUAUGUGUCACACUGUGCUAACUGAGCUCCCAACAUACUGCAGCCACACGAGUUCAGGCAAAUGACUGCUUUCCAGGAAAUUUUAUCUGAAUUAUCCUUCUGAACUCUGGCUAAAGCAUUUUUCUUUAAGUUAAACUUGAAGUCCUGAAACAUUAAAGAGCAUUAUGCAUCAACUUAAUUGGAAACAGUUUUGCCUCAACACAUCCUGCAUUUGUUCAAGGACUUAGAAAGAGAAAAGCCCAUGCUUUGAAGCACCGUGACAACUUAAGAUAAAUUUCACAUUACUUUUCUAACAGAGUAUAAUUGAAAACAUACUUCAUCACAGACAGUAAUCUUAUUCUGGGUAGAGAUGCAUUUAGCCCACAAGUCUGAACCUCAAAAUUCCCAAGUCUUGAUCAAAUUCUGACUGUGGCCCAAACUGUCUUCUCAUUCUGUAAGAAGCAAAUCCAGUUUUAAUAUUACUGGGUUUAUUAAUUAUUAUUAAUAUUAAAUUAUUAAUAUUUAACAUUACCCCAACAAUAAAAAAAAAAAAAAGGGGGAAAAAAAAAAAAAAAGAAAUAAGAAGACUCCAAACUAUGUAGCUCCUAUUUUUAUGCCAGUUUUUCAAGAGGUCUUUUUCCCAUCUCAGCACCCAUCUCUCUCCUGCUUGGGUACUGCUGCCAUUUAGAGUGAAGCAGUACACCAGUCACUCAAGGUCACAGAGGAAGGCUCUUGCAGAGCCAGAAAUUUGAAUCAACAUCUCCUGUGCCCUAACCACAAGGCUCUCCUUCCUCUCCUUAACAGCACAGUGUGUUUCUUUGUUAAGUUUCUUUCUAGUUAGACAUAACAUAAUGGGCCUUUUUCUUUAUUCAUAGAUAAUGGCAAUAUGACAUUAUGAGAUGGGCAGUUGUCAUUCGCAGGGAAUGUUCUUUUUCCGCUUGCCCCUAAAACACAAACAUCACUUAGCAGAUUGUUGUCAGUCGAUGAAACUAGGAUCUCUGUGAUUUACAAUCUUUUUCCAGCAGUCUCGCAAUAGAAAUUUGUCCUUUAUUUCUGUUUUUCAUGAUACGAAAGGUUGACAACUUGUGGAUCCUAGAUAGCAAGUAUUGCACCAUUUCCUAUACAACCUUCACCAGACAUAUAAGAAAAAAAAGCCUUCUUCACCAAGGAAAUGAAGUCAACAGCAGGUAUUUAUUUCAAACCCUUGAGAAGGUUUACGUACCACAGUAAUAGAUCAGUAGUCACUGCCUACCAUAAUAUGUGAGCAGCCUUACACAUAUCCCUACAAGACAUGAGAAGCCCAACAGCAUCAAGUGGAAGACCCAGGCACAGUACUGCAUUUUCUGUUGUCACAUUCUCCAUUUUAAUCAGAGGGACACAUUUGCUAUUUCAAGACUCUGGAGACUAUGGUUGGAAGUCAUUCUAUGAAACAAGAGAAUUAUAGAUAUUCACUUUAUUUGUGCAGACAAAUAAAAGAAUGCAUUUGACAGAUGCCUGCCAUACAGAACUCCAUCUUUGGGUUACUAUUUUUGCAUUCAACUCAAAAAAAUAAAAAUGAAAAAAAAUCUAGUUUCUUUAAGCCCUGUCCUCUUUUCCAUGACCUUUUUGAUCAAUAAGCCUUUGUUUUGCUGCAAUUCCUUGGCAUGACUACUGCUAGUCCUUAUCUCAUAUUUACAUUUAAGCUCUUUGGGCCUUGGCAGAGGUUUGAGUCAUAUAUUUUCCUUAGAUUACAAACUCUAAAUGAAGUCCAUCACUUGAGAGUGUGGUCUUCUCAGGAGACCCAGAAAUUAGCUGACUACCUUCACUGUUUGAUACAUCUUCUGGCAAGUUAGUGAAAUUCAGGUUGACAGCUAUUUUCAUAUAGAUAACAGGCUUCUCUGUCUUUUUAAGACUUUUUUUGGGGGGGGGGGGGGGGGGGGGGGGGGAAGAGGAUGGUAGGGACUCGGGAAGUCUCCAUCAGAUUCUGCAGUUGCUAUCAUUUAAAAAAAAGCAACAGCUCCAAUGGCUCUCUGGCACUACAUGAUCUUCUCACAGGAGUUUCACUGAUAAAAAUAAGUCCCAUUUUCAGGUGACAAACCAGUGUGAAACCUUCUGCUCUCCGUUAAGGUUGUUGCCCUAUAUAAAGAGCCAUUUUUCAGACACUGCACUGUAACAGCAAUCUCUAGCUUACCUCUCAGCAACUCUAUCUCCGUAAGUACUGCAUUCGAGCAAACAGACUAAAAAAAAAAAAAAAAAAAAGUCUAAGAGAUCUUAAGAAAAACAACAUUGACAUUCCACUAAUACUUGCCUUUUCCCCUUCUCCAACAGCAAAUGCUGAAAAGGUGCAAGUGACCAACUUCUGAAAUGCUACAUAAAUGCUCAGAAAUAAAUCAAAGAUUUAUACCCAAGUAGACACAACCAAAUGAAACUCACUUUCAGCUUCACAAUGCGGAAUAACGCAUUUGUGAGUGACUGAUAUAUUGCUCAUGAAAAGGGAAAAAAAAUACAAGAAGAAGCCUUUUCACAGUUCAAUAGAAAGUCACAAUAUUUGAGAAAUGAAUAAGGAGUCAUGUAAUGGCUUUGCAGCUUUUGAACUUUCACAUGUUUCAGAUUUUUCUAAUGCUUGCGUGGAUUAAAGAGAUUCACAUCUCAAUGGCUAGGGCACCUAACGUUUUUUCUGGAUCAGGUUUAAUGCUUUCCACACUGUAAAAAUUUCACUUUGCAUGAACACACCCUGAAUUUAAGGAAUUUUUCAUAUUUAAGUGUGUGUUUUCCAGUAUGUUUCUUUUUAUGUUAACCUCGUCAAAGGGCAUGGUGUCUGGAUCAUAAGAAUCAUCAACUACUUCAAUUUCACACAUCAAUACACUGGGCCUUUCUGGCAUGCUUUUCUUCCCAGACUCCAAAAAUAAAUUAAAGGGAGGAAAAAAAGUCAGGAGACAAUAAAUUAGAAGACAUCCAGAUUUUUUUCUUUACUUCUGUGUAUUAUCUCAACUUGGACCCCAGAAUAAAAAGGAGAACCAUUUAUUGCAGUGAUGUGCAAAGUUCAUCGUUUUAAAGCUACAACUACACCCUAUUCAUCUCUUUAAAAAUAUUUCAAAGCAGGGCUGUGGGACCCAAAGAAAGAGAAGAGUCUCUGAUGUCCACCCAGCUCACACAGAAAAACACUGCAUUUUCUACCCUUUGACAAAGGAUUAAGGAGUGACAAAAAGCCUCUCUAUCGUUUCUAAAAAAUGGGUAUGUGUGUGCAUGGAUAUGACGCAAACUCUAACAGGUAUAAGGAAGGUGUGGGUAUCAUCUAGAAUCAAGAAACCAUCACAGGCUUCAUGGAAGCCGGCACAUGCAUUUAGUCUUUAUGGCUCAAAAACUAGGGCGACCAGGUGUUUAAAACAUUAGCACGCAAAAGGAGUGACAGUCCAAGUUGUUGGGGACUGUGUAGAACUGAAUCUAACGGAUGAACAGAGGGUGUUUUGUUGUUUCUUUGUUGUUUUUUGUUGUUUGUUGCUGUUACUGCUGUUUGUGAUUGUAGACCAAUAGAGAAAGAUAAUCUAGGAAAAUGCAAGUAAAGGGGGUGUAAGAGCAAAGAGGAAUGUUGUGCAUUGACACUGGGAGGAUGAAGCUUUUUUUGAAUGCUACUUGCAGGUAUAACCAUUUUGGGUAUUUCUGGAAAAAGAAGAAAGAAAGGAAAAAAAGAGAAAAGGGGAAAGAAAAGGGAGGGGAAGGGAGAAGAAAGAAAAGCUCUGAUGACUUUUGCCUGUGUUUGUUGAAGCAAAAUUGCAUACUUGCUCUGUAAAAUAAAGCACAUGGCUGCAAAACUGCCCCCAAAAUACAUUUCAUUUCUAUCAUCAGUUUCUCAUUCUUAUCGGAAUUGCCAGGUUCUGAAUUCUGACCUUGGGGCUUAAAACACAAUGAAUGUGCAUGAAAGAUUUUACACACUUUUCACCAAAAGAACAACUUCUAUGUCCCAAACCAUAGCUUUUACAACUAACAGCUAUAUUUGAAAACAAAUGUAUCCUUUCACCCUGUGAAUUAAACAAUAAAAUGCUUUUGUGGGAAGUCUGUGUUCCACACGGACAUUUAUUACUGAAUUUGCAUUUAUGACUAUGCUCAGUUUGUUUCACUGAAGUUUGUUUCAUUCAUCUAAGCAAACACAGCCACCAAAAUAGUUUCUAAAAAAUCACAUUAUGGAAUGACUUCUCUUCAAUAGCAUACCAGUUCCUCAUGUAAUAGCACCAUACUAUGCUAUUUUCUCCCAAAGCUUAUCAGAUCUGCUAGUACGUCAAAGUGUGCAAGAGUACCAUCUUAAAAUACAAACACUUUUCAGGAGGCUUGUGUUCAGUGUUCUGGCUGCAUAAGUCCACUUUUCAGCCUACAGCAUGAAGUUCAAGGCACAAAAGAAGUUUUGGUAAUACAAGGUAUUAAAAUAAAUACCAGUGAACACUAGUAUGCAUCAUAAACAUACAGGGGAUCUUUGAGCUGACUCUUUAAGGGUGAAACAAAACACCACACCGUACUCAGUAAAGUGAUUUUUCUGCCUGAGAAAACACUGUUUUUUCUGUUUUGUCUCCUCCCAGUGUGAUUGGCAGUGUUGCAAGCCAACAAUUGCAACAAGCCUAGAGUAUAACUGAAUUUAUUGGUAUCCAUCAUUAAGCAACACAGGAGUACAGCCAGAAAUUCACUGCCUGAGAUUUCCUCUAGCUUUCUAUGUAUUAGAAAUGUUUGAUCCAUAUAGAAAUCUUAAACUAUGGAACACUAUCGAUUCAAAAUCCUGUUGGGCUUCUGACUAUUUUGCAUGCUCUUAACCACCAUUAGAGUCAACAACAAUAUCAGAGAAUUAUAGAACAUGAGGGAGCCAGGACUGCCUAAGGCUAUCAAAAAGCCAAGGGAGAGAGGUGGUUUGAAUAAAGGAUAUUACCUCUCCUUACAAACACCAUCAAACUGAAAACAUUGUAAAUAUGAUUGAGCAAAGAAGGCAACCAACUGCUGGCAACAUUUGAAACUUUGGAAAAUCCCUUUGGAGAACUGGACAAGCAGGUGUCAUGCCCUGGUUUGCACAGCUCUCCAACCAGUCCACCAGUCUCAGCUUUUGCUUGGUCCCGUGGCUUUCAGAUGAUCUACUCUAUUUGAAAGCACACAAGCAAGUUGUUCUGCACAGCAUUAUUAUUCCAUCCUGCUCCUUGCAAAUGCGUCAUAACAUGAGAAUCUGCUUUGUGAAAUCAAAUAUCACUUGCCUGAUUGGGCCCCUUGGUAUGCCAUUUACUUGUUUCUUCUAAAAUAAAUGAGAUUACUCUCAUAAAACAGGGGAAAGUAUUUUGGAAGGCAGUGCUUAGUAUUCGUAUCUUCCAUUUUGUUCUCAUAUUCAGCUAACAUACUAAAUACAAACUGACACUACAAAAAGAGACACCAUGGGAGGCUACUUAUUUAUUUGAUAUUUACAAGUGUCUCUCCAAUACCACAAAAAUAUUAGGAAUAGUGAGUGUAAUGCCAAGAAAUCCAAGACAAGACCAACUGCAAGACAAGUGCGCUAUUCACUGUCUGUUUACAGAAAAUACUUGCUGCAAACACGUGACUAUAGCGGAGCAAAUAAGGCAUUGAUAUGCACCAAAAUUUCUGCUCCCACACAAAAAGGAUGGGUACAUAAAGUUUACAUGAGUGGAGUUAAGCCAAAGCUAGAGGGAAAGGGAUACAACCUUACCAGUCUUGGGAGAGACAAUGAACUUGUAGUCUCAUCAGUGAGUUAUAAACAACUGCAGGUUUGAGUUUCAAAAGAGUAAUAAGAAAAGAAUAGCACCGCUGGAGAUGGCUUCACUAACAAUUCAGUUCAGCUAAGAUGGUGUGUAUGUAUUCUUGCACUUGCAUGCAGGAACUGUAAGUGAGAUCCAUAAUAUAUUGCCAUUAUUAGAGUUCAUGAACAGGAGAUUUACCCAAAGAUUCAUCAGCCGUGUUUCAACCAUCACCAAACCAAGUUUGCAGCACAGUGUCUCCUCCUAUGUUCAGCCUGGGUUCUCCAAGUAGCAUAACAUAGGAAAAAAAUCUAUUACCAACAGUCAUCUACUGGCUUCCAUUUUUUCAAAUGCUUUCAACUUAGAGGUAUCCAAACAUUUUUUACCUCGGAAAGGCCUAAUUACUGUGUCUGUCAGGCUUACAACAAAAACACAGCAAACUCUAGACACAACUGUGGCAUACCUACCUCCAAAUUAAUAUUUUUGUUGGAUGUGGAUGUGAGCAUUUUAUUUACGUAACAUCAAAGUUUUUUUUUGUUUGUUUGUUUUUGUUUUUAAAGGAAGGAAUCCAUUGUUAACUUCAGUGAUGAUAACAGAAUAAGUCAUUAAAGAGCUAGAAAGCAUUUCCUUUUAAAGACUGCUUUUUUUCUGCCUCUGCACUUCUGGGCCCUAUCUUUGUAGGUCAAAACAUAACCACCUUAUUCCCUGAGUUUCCACAGACUGUUACAGACUGGACUCAUUCUUUUUUUGUUUGUUUUGUUUUGUUUCACUUGCUGUUUCAUUUUAUCAAAACAAAAGAUAUUUUAUGAUGAAAACAGAAGUAUAUGAAAACACAAAGUUAUGGAGACUAACCCCAACUCAACCUUAUCUACUCAGUAGGAAAGCGUUACUUCCUCGUAUUUUCUAAUACUCAAGGGCAAAUUUAUUGCUUAAAGAUUCAAGCAUUCAAAGAAUGUUCAGAGGAAAAGAGGAAUGAAAACUCAGAAAUAGAAAUACUACACUCUGGAGUGAGAAGAGAGACAAAGACAUGUUCAGCUGAAAAUACGUAGACCUGAUACCUGGUCCCAGUGAGUGCCAGGAUAAAACAGCCAUUGGUUGAAGUAAGGUCAUGAUCUCUGUCAAGAUUUAAGUCUGGACUCACUUUUGAAACAGCAUCAUUUGUCGGUGGUGGUGGUGAAUGGGAUGACAGGAUUAAUGUGAUGGUUAUGCUCUGUGUUGAAAUGGCACGAAUUGUAUGUCAAGAUGCUUUCACCAUAAACAAGCCAGCACUGAACACUUGGAAGCACAGUUCUGGUAUUAAUCUGAGGUAACUGUGAUUACACAUUAUAAUGUAUGCUCCAAUACUGCACUUGUGUAAAUUGUCUGUGUCUUUUAUAUAUAUACUAUACUAUGUAUAGUAUAUAUAUACUGUGUCUUUUGUAUAUAUACUAUACACACAAUGUGUGUACAGUAUUUCCGAGUAUAUAGGCGCACACAUGCAGGAAAAAUAUGAAUGUGGGAGCCACAGUAAUGCUGCUCCUGGCUGAAGGUAAUGUUACAGAAUUAGUUUCCAUCUUAGUGGAUCACAGGAAAAAAAAUACUGUAAGGAUUAUUUUAAUUUGUAAAACAUUUGUAUUCCCUCCUGUACUGCAGUAGAAGGAAUGCGUCAACUGCCACUUUUUAAGAAAUAUAAUACACUUCCUCCUACUUUGGGUUUGAAAUUGGAACCAAAACAAAUUUGCUGCAGAAAAAACUGAUCUUAAAGGUCCUGGCAGGAGGUAAAGUCUGGAAGUGAGCUCACUCCUUGCUGCCAUUAUCCCUUCAUGGGAAUCUAGAUGUGCCAUUCUAUAUCCUGCAUCCUCUGCUCCUUUUCAGAAAACCAGAAAGCUGAAUGACAUCACAAAAUGCACAAAGUGCACAACCAGCCAAGACUCCUGGGUGAGGAAUACACUGACCACCACAGCCAACUCAAAUAGUGGUAGGAUUUUGGAUCCUUGAUUGGAAGAAAAAAUUGUCUGCAUAUGCUACUUGUAAAUCAGCACUCGCUUAGCCACCCUAGAGAAUGAAACAGCACAAUAGAUCUUUCACAGCUCACAGGAGAGGUCAUGGUACAAAAAUGCUGAACAAUGCAACACAAUCUUUUGUAGGUAAGCAACUUCUGGGUGGGAGGUGUGAGUUGUUACAACAAUAGAAACCUCAGAGGAGACAAUCAGAAAAUUCUUAACAUGCUUUUUGAAGGAAUGUACACAACUGACUGUAUUUUCAACAGACAUAUAUUUCAAACUCUUCUGGUGCCCUGAUUCUUAUGCUUUAUAAACACAUACAUAGAAAGAGCUAGAUUUUGUUUCUGUUUCAUUAACUCCACAUUUCUGCUACUUAUAAUUAUCCCAGGCAUUAUGAUCAGACAAUUCACACAUUAAUUUAUUUGAGGUAAUUUCCUUUAAAGUGACUUGCAGAAUAGUAACCUAAUGUUGAGUACAAUUUCUGGUGCACUGCAUUUUUCAUAUUUAAUAUGUCACUUGACAGUUUGUUAAAACUGACUGACUUGAUGUCUGUUAUAAACGUUCACUGUACUGAAAUCCCAAACAAAUAUCAGGGAUAUAAUUCUUUUCCAUAGACUAUAUGCUUAAUAUUGUUUCUUGCCUUCCUCUGGGCUCGCUCUUAGCAUGAAUAUGCCAAAAUAAGAUGAUACUCAACUCAUUACAACUCAGUACAGAAAGGACAUGGAGGUGCUGGAGCAGGUCCAAAGAAGGACAACAAGGCUUGUGAAGGGCUUGGAGAAUAUGCCCUGUGAGGAGAGACUGAAGGAACUGGGGCUGUUUAGUCUGGGGAAAAAAAGGCUGGGGGGAGACCUCUCUUCCAAUAUCUGAAAGGUGCCUACAGAGAGAGCGGGGUUGGUCUCUUCUCACUGGUGACAGGUGACAGGAAGAGGGGAAAUGGCCUUAAGUUGCACCAGGGUAAGUUUAGGUUGGAUAUCAGGAAAAACUUUACUGAAAGGGUUGUUAAGCACUGGAAUAGGCUCCCCAGGGAGGUGGUUGAGUCACCAUUCCUGGAUGUGUUUAAAAAUCGUUUGGAUGUGGUUCUCAGGGACAUGAUUUAGCAGAGGGUUGUUAGGGUAGUAUGGUUAGGUCAUGGUUGGACUCGAUGAUCUUUAAGGUCUUUCUCAACCUGAGUGAUUCUAUGAUUCCAUGAUUAUGAUUUUUCUAAAAAAUAUGUUUCCACUGAAAUUAAUGUAAUAUGGUACGGUAGUUUUGAUUUGCUGAUGUCCAAGUUAGCUGAUGUUGCAAGUCAACUGGGUGAAACUAUGACUGGCUACAUUCAAUGAGGGUGAGAACUUUAAAAUACAAUUCCAAACAAAGCCUGGCCAUUGCCUACCCUCCCAAAAGUAAACCUCUCCGCGACCUGAUCCUUCUCUCUCAUCACUAAAACAGGUUUAUCACAUGGAAUGCAAGUGGGAGCAUGAGGGGAAACAGCAGAAAACACAACAUCAAGAAGGUUUGGAAGACAUGCCAAAGUGAAAAUGGUAGCCCAGGUGCAAAGCCAAAGCCACUAACAGCAUCCCACAAGAAAGCAGAUCAAGAAAUAGGGCUUUGAUCAAGAGAAUACUGGGAGGAGUGGUUUCCUGCUGUGGGAAGUGGGACCUGCAUCACAGUUACACUUGCUGGAGUUACAUCUGGACAGAUGGUGAGAACACAGCCAGAAGGAGAAACCUCUGGGUUUCCAAUAAAGCCUCUCUUCACUUUCAUGCCUUCACAAGUCUGUCAAUCCACAAAGCUGUCUGGAAGAAAGAGACAGGGAAGAGCUAUGUGCUUCAGUAGUAAAUGACCAACAGGUAAAGAGACACAGAAAAUUCAAAUCUGUACAAAUCAAAUGCUUUUGCCUAGACUACAAAAUGCACUCAGAUGUAUGUCUCCAUGUUUAACUGAUUCACCUUCAAACCCUCCAGAGAAACUUCAUGAGCUGAGGCAGGGGGCCAGGAAACUCCAGGGGUAAUUCUGGCCAUCCUGACAGAUGCUGCUCUGAGAAGUGUCUCAUUCAUCCAGGUAUUUCACAUGAAACUCAAAUGAGCUCACACUUUUCAGCAAUGAGUCACACACUCAUUUGGCAAAUACAAAGACUUCAGAGUCCCUCUCCCUCAUUCCCAGAUGCUGGAAAGUCACAAUUCUUUGAGUGUGAUGUCAGGAGGUGUUGCCAUGAAAACCCUUUUAAAAUCAUAAGCACUAAAUUGUAACUCCUUUUGCAUGGUAAAGGAUCACACAGGGGGUACUGCGGUUUGGAGGAAGAUAUCUUAUAAUUAGUGAUAAUAACAAAGGAAAUAUCCAUAAUUACAUCAAAGAAGUCUUCACUGAGUAUUGUUUUUACUUACUUCCAGAGGGAACACAUAAUUCUCUGAAAAAACAUGACUGUUUUAAGCAGAUGUAGAUAAAUAAAAAAGUGCUAUCAAGAGAAUCAAACUUCAAACUGAAGCCGGAAAAAUACUUCAAAAUGCACAAGAGGUUAUCUAAUCAAUCAGCUUAAAGGCCAGUCGUCAGCUCUCCGCCAACAGGCAGAGCUGCUAUGUCUGCAGUGUGUGCGCAUCUUUUCAGAUGAACACGGCACACUACAGCAUAUCCUGGGUGCGUGUAUCUGCAUACAGGAGGCACAGUCUGGGGAUUCAUUUCAUCCAGCCACACAAACAGGACUAAUUUUGUAAAGUGCAGAUAGCUAAAAAUAGCCAAGAGUGAAGUUAUGCAAUAAAACCUGGUGUACGUUUUCCCUUUCCAGAUGAGAGAAUCUGACAUAGUUUCAAAUAGAGAAUAAAUAAAUAAAUAAAUAAAGGCGAUGGUCUGAUCAGUGUAUAAACUAUAUUCAUUUCAUUCCCUUCUGCAGAGAAGGAAUUUGAAUCUCCUAUACAUUAAAGAUGCAUGCCCACUGUCAUAUCAUUUCAGCGACUUAAAUAGUAAAUGAUCAAAAAUUCACAGUGCUUCUGCCCUCCUCUGGAAAAAAAAUAGGUCAAAAAUGAAUGGAAACAAACUGUCUUCUGCUCCUUUUUUAUGCAUUUGAGAGAGGAAAAAACAAGGGAGAUAAAUCUGCAUAAUACUGAACCGAAUCUCUUUAAUUCCAGUCAGCUUUUAUCAUUCAAUCACUGAGUCUGUAUGUGGAAAAAUUCAUGCUAAUUCCCCCUAGCAACAGCCUCAGCCUAUCAGGACAAGCCAUGCACCAUGCAGCUGCCAGCCAGCAAGAAUAACUCUAAGUAGGUCAGGCCUGCAUUUCUAAAAAUGCCACGGUCUAGUAACCCCACUGUCCCGUCUGUCUGCCCUGCCCCAUAAUAACCUCAAUUGCUUGGUGACACAAUGACAUACUGCCCUGUUAGAGCGCAAUCAAAUCACGCUGCAUUAUUCUGCUGCGAGCAUCACUGCUGGAAGAAGGAGCCGUCGAGGGGCAGCAUUAAUCAGGCGGCCAUUCAUGUCCACCGGCACUUCACUCUGGAGAUGGGGCCUGCAUUAAUGACCAGCUGUUGGAAGGAACACAAACAAAGUAACGCCUUCCACCCUGCCGGCUGUGCAGAAUACGCCAUUCUGUUCAGGCAGGUUGCACUCAUUGACAGAGGCCGCGAUGUAAAUUAAACAGCCCCAGACAAUGCCGGCUUUUGUAAGCUCCUACUAAUUAAAGUAAGUAUAUUUAAAUUAUACUACACACAAUUCAAAGAGCUAUUGGUUUAAUAUACAGAGUCAUCUCCUCCUACAAAUUUGUGUUCACGGUCAGGGGAAAAAAAAAAAAAAAAAAAAAAAAAACAGAACCCACAACCACUGUUUGCAUAAUACAAUCUACCUAUCCUGGUAAAUUAAAGAGCAGCACAAAGAGCAGAACUGCAGCUGACUUGCACUGCGAGCAGGGAACCACACCAGGCUGCCAAAAACAGGCAGCAAUGCACACUGACUGGUGAAGGGCUGUCGAUAAAAGCCAUGUAAACAUCUCCAGCCACAGCACGGGGAAAGGCCGGUCAGAGCAGGGUAAGCACCCCUGCAAUCUCACCGCUUAAGUGCUGUGGAGCAGCCAGCCCAGACCGAAAAACAACAGCAGGGAUCAGAAAGCUCCAGCCAUGUCCCUGUGGAGUAGGCAGCCCAGCGCCGCAGCAUUCCCAAUGCACCCCCAGGACCACGUUUGGCUGCAAGAUGUUGCGCUAAGGCUUUUUUUGCACCAUCCCUUAACCAGAGAAGCCUUAAUAGAAACCACACCUGAGCGCAGUAGGUCUGCACUGGGGUGGUAUUUCAGCAUCAAAUCUGCAACGCCAGAGCUGAGUUUUGGUGUGCUGGCUCUUUGUGUUUAAUUUUAUGCGUGCUUUUAAACACCUUGGUGCGGCUGGCCAGUCGCUCCCUCCUAUGCCUCGUGGCACGCAGCUGCCUGUGCAAGAUGGAGACGGGAAUGACAUUUCCUAGGACAGAUGGCUUGUCUGCAUUUCUUCCGAAGGAUUCACACUUCCACUCGGUGAACGUGUGCCCUCUGACAAACCGAUAAUUCAGUCUUCACUUUUGCAGAGUGCAGCCAGUCUCAUACGUGUAAGCCAUCCAGCUCUGAUUUACGAAUGCAGCUGAUUCAUUAAUCCAUUUCGCUCUGUUGUUCAAAGCAGGCUCGAGAACCAGGUUAUGACUGCCUUCCUUUGCUUUGUGGCACACAUCACACAGCUAUUCUUGGAGAGAUACAGUCCCUGACGUAACCACGGGUUCCUAAUUACAAGCUGCUGACAUUUUGCAGCUUUGAAGCUAUGAGCUAAGAGCCACUCUUCCUCCUGCUCGCUCGCUUUAAAACAGCCUGAGUUAGAAGCACAGCAGUUUCAGAAAGGUGCAGGAGUGGUAUACACUUCUUUUCAGAGCCUGCUGUAUUGCCAAGGUUAUUUUUCUUUAAGAAAACACAAAACUACAGUAUGGGAGUAAUAAGACUCCUCUGCCCCCAGCACAAGAAUGUUACCCAGCAGCUGGCUAAAUAUAAUCCAACACACAGGGCAGCCUUUGUAGACAGGGUAACAAACAGUGGAAGGGCCAGACAGGCAUCUUGCAGGGUAGCCCACCAUGACUAUUGGGAAAUCCCCCCGUACGCAUUUUAGGAUGACAUUAUGGUCUACGGAUUUGUAUAAAAGGGGAAAAAAAAAAAAGAAUAGAAAAAAGAAACCUCUUUCUCAGUAGGCAGCUGCUAAAAGCCAUGCCAAACCCCACUAGCUGACUGCAGUACUUGUUUUCCCUAUUUUUGCAUUGUUCAGCUAUGGGCAACCUGAGCUGCCAGCUGAACUCAGUAUGCCAAGCACUGUGACAAGUCUCCCUGUUCUAAAAGCAUGGACUCCUCAAUGCAUGCGCAGAAAUAUAAACCAAACAGAUAAACAAAAAGAGCCCAAGCCAAUCAGAUGACAAUGACAAAAAACAAAAAGAAAACCAAACAGGUACAUUUCAGAAAAAUCUGCUGCUAGCUGCUGUCUCUUUUAAUAGAGGAAUAAUCAUUUUUUAAUUAGAGGCUGAUUUUAAAAUUCUAAAAAAAAAAAAAAAAAAAAGAAAGAAAGAAAGAAAAAAGAAAUAUAAUCCUGACUAUAAAUGCUCAGUUGAGCAUUUAGCCAUCUGAUGACUGUGGUAGCCAGCUGGUCUAGAAGUCAUCUGGGAUGCAUUUAUUUUGAUUAGAUUGAUCACAUUUCUAUUUAGAACAUAGAAUUUUUUUGCCGUACUGAAUAUAGCUGUGUUCAUAAAGAUUGUAAGAUGGAGAAAAUGAUCCCCUCCCCCUUAGCUUCUCUCAACACAGUGCAGAAAAUUCAGUGCUCCAAGGUGUUAAACAGAAAGGAUCUGCUUUCAUAUUUCUUAGAAGAAUCCUGCCUACAUCUGCAUUCGCAAAGUGCUGCCUCACUCAGAAAUUGGGUGUAGAGCUAGAGCUGAAAAUACAAGCUGCAAUCAAGGCUGACCAUCAAAGUGACAAGCUUCCUCUGUAAAUUGGUCAGAAAUGUCUUUCUUUCAUGUCUGUACAUGCUCCCACACGCAUAAGCACACACACAUACAUAAGCACAUACAUACACAGCAUGGCCGCUGUUUUCCCUGGGGAUACUGCUGCAGCCACCUAGCUCAUCAGUUCCCUCCCUGACAGCAUCAGGAGUGUUCGAGCUACAAUUCAUAGUGCCUCUAUCCAUACAUUGUUUUCUUAAUCACACCAUCCUCUCCACACUGAGAAUGCACAGAAUCAGACAAACAGCACGCAGCGUUCCUUCUUCCACUGCAUUUGCACGCACUCUCUCGCUCGCUCUUCCUCCCGUGUCUUUGCCUUAGCAGGCAGAUACGACCAAUACCUUGUUUAUCCAUCUCCAGAACAACGCUGAGGUGCAACUCGACUGCAGUUCUGUGGCUUUCCCCAUCUUAAUCCUCUGGAGCAGCAGAGGCUGGAUUCUUGCUGCUGAUGCCCUUGUUGAGCACUGGAUUACUUUUCAUCAUAUUUCUUUAAGCUUUUACCCACUCCACCCUAGAUUAACAUCCCUCCUUUCUCUCCCCACCAAAAAAAAAAAAAAAAAAAGAAAACCCCCAAACAACCCCACAUCACAACCCUUUGCUUCCAGAACCAACAAAAAAAUUGCGGCUCCAUCGCUUCUCUUCCUUAGCAAUGUGCAGACGAGGGAGGCUCGCAUCAGCCAAGCUGGGGUGAAGCGCAGGCAGCGAGGCUGCAGCAGCAGCAGCAGAACCAGCAGCAGCCACCCAGGUAAAUGCGAAAAAGCAGGCUGUGUCGCAGUGCCGUAGCUGUGAGGAAAGAAUCUUGCUUCUUCUGAACAGUGCAGCUUCAUGCCUGCAGGAACGGAGAAGAGGGAAGACCCAGAAUUAAAAAUAGAAGCCAAAAUAGUUAAGAAGAAAUUAUGACUAUAAUAAAGGGCUGUAACUUUAUUUUCUGGGCUUUGGGGUUUUCCUAGGGGGGUGUCUUUCCCCCCCCUCCCCAAAGUCUCCUAUGUUGCUGGAUGUUACUGUCCAAGAGUGGAGUCACAAAGGCUCACCCUCCAAAGCGCAGCAAGACCAGCAUCACAUGAGAAACCACAUGAUGCACCCAAAUCGGAUGCUGAUGCGGUCCACUAUU
rnacentral:lncRNA from 1 species